UGGGUGGGCUUAGAGGCAGAGAUCCGCGGUGCUUGGGGUAUUACGCGUAUCUUCCUCAAGACCUUCUUGUUAGUUGGUGCGGCCACGGUCAGUGGGUACAACUGUCCACUGUCAGGGUCUCUGUGUAACAUGAGGUGCGGUAGCUGGUGGUGGUCUCUUGCACCCCACAGAAUGUUACCCUGGCAGGUGGAAAGCUGCUGCCUGCCACUUUGGCACCCCGCGUGCUCUUGCCUCUGCUAGGGCACUUCUUCCCCUUCCGGGGCUGCCGCUUGUGGCCUUUGGGGCUUGCCUCAGCCCAAGAUGCCUCGGACGGUGCGGUCACAUACGUGCUGGCAGAUUCUUCCUCCUGGGGCACUGCUGGCUUCAAUGGACUGCCUGAGAUGAGGCGGUUCCCAAGGCGCUCCAGCUUCAUGGAGCGGAUGUGCAGCUCCAGGCACUCGCGCUGCUCCUCAUUCAGGAACAGAGCCUGACGGCUGGGGAAGUAUCUACGAACCGUCUGGGAUCUCGGUGCUCUGGUGCCAGCUGGGCAGGCAAGGGGCGCCCCACGCUGCUUCUGCAUGGACCUCCGCACCACCGCAGGGAAGCGUUGAAGCUUUACCUCCAGGCAUUUUCUGGCCGUGUGCAUGGAGAGCUUCCCAAAAGCCGCCUGACUGAGCUGCAGCUUGGAGAUGAUAGCAAGCGCUGCGCUGCGGCGCUGGCUCCUGGCUUUGAUGUCACCCACACGCAGGCCUGCAGAGUCCGUUUGACAGCUGGCGUCCUUUAGCAGCGAUGUGCUGG
ensembl:lncRNA